rnacentral:miRNA from 1 species
CAGGUUUGUGCGUGAAUCUAA